rnacentral:lncRNA from 1 species
AUGGACAUACCUGAUAUUCAGUAUGUUUUUAUCAUCCUUUGUUCCCUUAAUGAGGACUUUGAUGGUGUAGCUAGCCAGAUAUCUGCUGUUCCACCAGCACAAUUAACUGUGGAAGGGGUGACGGCAAGAUUAAUGGGCGAGUUGGACAGAAGGGAGGCUUGUGCCAUAAGCACUCCUAUUUCCAGAAGUAAUGAGGAACGCCAUAUGCAAACUUGUGGUGAUACAACUGCAUUUAAAGCUGCAAAACGUUGUUGGUUCUGCAAUAAGCAAGGACAUUUUGCAAAGGACUGCAGAUCCAAAAGAAAGCAAAGUACUCCCAAGCCUGUUUCUGUUUGUCAGUCACGGUUGUCAUCUCAGCAGCCAACAUCGCACCGUAAAGACAGAAAUGAGCCGCGAGCUUUUCAUGCUCGGACAACAGAUCGUAAUAGAAUUAAAGAUGCCAAGUGGAAGUCUUUUAUUAUCGACUCAGGAGCAUCUCAGCACGUUUGCAAUGAUCGAAGCUUGUUUAUUUCUUUCGAAGAGGAAAUUGGUAAUGUACAUUUAGCCAAUUCACAAGUCUUGCAGUCGCUUGGCAGAGGUACUGUUAAACUUGACUCUUUAAACAUUACAAUAGCGAACUGCAUUUACUGCCCGUCAGUGGACAAUUUAUUGUCAGUAAGGUGCUUUGCUCGUCAAGGCAUAACUGUGCGUUUCUUAAAGUCAAUGAGUGAGUUUUUCGAUGGGAACAAACGUUUAUUGUAUGCCCGGGAAUCUGAUGGUUUAUAUAGACUGUAUUUUCGCACCUACUCACAAUUGCCUAUAAACUGCAGAGCAGCACAGUCAAGCCAGGGGUUGAAGAAUGUAAGGCCACAUUCUGGGUGUGUCCACGAGGCGCACAGAAUUCUGGGACACCUGAAUUUUGCUGAUGUAAUUAAGACAAAGAAUAUUGUUAAUGGUCUCAACUUAAAACCAUGUAAAUUCUUUAUGCAAUGUCUAUCCUGUUGCAAGAAUAAGAUUAAGGUUGCACGCAUGGGUAGGUGCUCAGAUAGGAAAGUAACUGAGCCAUUUGAGCGUGUACAUUGUGAUUUAGUUGGGCCACUCCCACCAUCAUUAGGAGGUUCUAAGUACUGGCUUACCCUGAUAGACCAGUAUAGUAGAUAUUGUUGGACUUAUGCAAUAGCUGAAAAGUCACAAGCAUUUGAAAAGUAUAAAGUUUUUUGCAACUGGGUAAAAACGCACUUUAACAAACCAAUUAAGAACCUGUUUUCUGACCGGGUCGGGGAAUUUGUUUCUGAGGAUUUUGAGAAAUUCCUGGAAGCGCAGGGGACUACUCAUGAGUUAUCUUGCCCCCAAAGUCCCUGGCAAAAUGGGCUUGUUGAAGUUGUGCAGCGUGACCUGCAGGCAGGGGUUAAAACGUAUCUGCACGAUGCUAAUCUGCCCAAAGACUUUUGGGCUGAAGCGCUUAAUGCGUUUUGUUAUGUUAGAAAUCGCAGUUAUCAUUCUGGUUUAGAUGUCACCCCCUAUGAGAAGCUGUUUAAAAAACGCCCUAAUCUGAAAUACCUACGCAUUUGGGGUUCAGAUGUAAUUAUGCAUUACCCCGCUAAGCAGAAAUUGGGUGAGCGUAGUGUUCAGGGAAAAUUAAUGGGCUACCAGCAGGGGGCGUACAGAAUUUACAUACCAGCAACUGGCAAAUUUCAUAUUACCAGAAGCAUGAUACAAACUGUAAAUUGGAAUGGAGUUGCUGUCUUCCAAGAUACUGAUGGUAUAGAUAAUACUGAGGAAGAAGAAGAGGAAGCAGCAGCAGCAGCAGGAAAUGGUGCUUCUGAAUUAAUGGGAAAAGACAAAAAGCCUGUUGAAUCUGAUAAUUUGUUUGAUGAUUUAAUGUCACAGGCACCCGAGGGGAUGUUAGAUUCUCUUGAGUUUUCUGACCGUGAG